CCCAGGCUCAGCUCAUGGAUUUAAAGAUCCUAAUGAUGAAUAGUGGGUCAGUGCAUCUAUUGCUCACUGAUCAGAAAUCUUUGCCUUGUUAAACAGGAAGGCAGACACUGGAUUACAGCAACAGAGCAGUAUCAACCCAAUCUGAAUCUCCUUGAAAAAAGAGUAUAAUAAGGAUCUCUGGGAAUACAGUUUUCAUGAUUCACUUCCAGAAGGGACACUGCUGGAGAUUACACAAGAUUUAUCCUGAUAGACUGGAAUUACGAAAGUUCACGAGUGCUCCAGGAGCCACAUGAGGAUAAAUAUAGAUUCAAUCAAAUCAAAUCAAGUUUGGCAAUAAAGAUGUAAGAAGUGAAUUACUUUCAGCUUGCCCCAAGUUGUUUAACUGAACCAGGACAAUUUAUGAAGCAACCAGGAAGGAGGGAGAGAGGGAGAGAGAGAGAUGCUACUUAUGGAAAAGCUACACAGAACUACACAUCACUUGACACCAGAGAAUGCAGCAGGAAAUUUUCAAAAUCCAAAACUAUAGGAAAACCUAUAGUCAGAAUUUGCACUGGCUUAGACUAUGCAGUUCAUCUUCACAAGCAGCAUAAACAAGGCUUCAUUAAUCACAGAGCUCCUGGAAAUACUUGCUUAAUAAACCUUUUGAUUUUCAACUAAGCAUGAGUUUUCGACACAGGCUAACAAUUUUUGUGCUGACAGCAAUAACCUUCCUGGUGUGUUGCAUAGUCUCAGACUUUAAUAUAGGUUCACAUUCUUUUCACUCAAGUGUCUGGCUGGACCCCUGCUACACGAGCUGGAGGCUCUGGGUGUAAGGAGCACCCAUAUAUCAAUGCAGUUCCUGUUCUGCCAGAACAGUGUAAAUUUUGCAGGCA
rnacentral:lncRNA from 1 species